rnacentral:rRNA from 1 species
CUACGGGAUGCAGCAGUGGGGAAUAUUGCACAAUGGGGGAAACCCUGAUGCAGCGACGCCGCGUGAAGGAAGAAGGCCUUCGGGUUGUAAACUUCUUUGAUUGGGGACGAAUAAAAUGACGGUACCCAAAGAACAAGCCACGGCUAACUACGUGCCAGCAGCCGCGGUAAUACGUAGGUGGCAAGCGUUGUCCGGAAUUACUGGGUGUAAAGGGCGUGUAGGCGGGUAUGCAAGUCAGAUGUGAAAUUCCACGGCUUAACUGUGGGCGUGCAUCUGAAACUGUAUAUCUUGAGUGCUGGAGAGGAAAGCGGAAUUCCUAGUGUAGCGGUGAAAUGCGUAGAUAUUAGGGGGAACACCAGUGGCGAAGGCGGCUUUCUGGACAGUAACUGACGCUGAGGCGCGAAAGCGUGGGGAGCAAACAGGAUUAGAUACCCGCGUAGUC